UCGCUUUUUCCUGCUGACAUUCAGGAUGUCUGGAGUGCAUGGAAGCUUUAAAAUGCCAUCGCUAAUAAAGCGAAGGCGAAUAGAUCAUGGUCUGCCUCCAACUGUAGUUUUACUAACCAAGACUGAAGACCAGAGAUAAAUUUGCACAACUGAAAGUCUGAAACUAUACUUUAACAAAACUUUAUUUGUAAAUGUUGCGGAGUUUGUACUUUGCUCUCGCCUGAUUAUGUUUUUCAUGACUUCGACCAUUCGAGUUGUACGGGAAAAUAGAGAGUUUAAGUUCGACUUCGAAUACCGAUACCAACAACAGGUCAUGUUCAUGCGCUGUGGUCGCAAAAAGCACGAGGGCAAGUGCAGGCACGUAGCGAAGCAUCUGAAGUUGAGGGGUGUCGGAGGAAGCACGAGGGCAAGUGCAGGCACGUAGCGAAGCAUCUGAAGUUGAGGGGUGUCGGAGGAUUUUACCUGAAAUUUGAACUUCAAUGACAAUGAUAAGAAAUUUACCUGAAAUGCAUUAAUUCAAUGACAAUGCUAAGAAUUUACCUGAAAUGCAUUAAUUAUAAUAGAUA